rnacentral:rRNA from 1 species
CAACGCCGCGUGAGCGAAGAAGGCUUUCGGGUCGUAAAGCUCUGUCAACGUGGGAAAAAAUGUCUAUCGGUUAAUAGCCAUAGAAGCUGANGUACCACUGAAGAAGCACCG